rnacentral:rRNA from 1 species
AUUGAACGCUGGCGGCAUGCCUUACACAUGCAAGUCGAACGGUAACGGGCCUUCGGGUGCCGACGAGUGGCGAACGGGUGAGUAAUACAUCGGAACGUGCCCGAUCGUGGGGGAUAACGAGGCGAAAGCUUUGCUAAUACCGCAUACGAUCUACGGAUGAAAGCAGGGGACCGCAAGGCCUUGCGCGGACGGAGCGGCCGAUGGCAGAUUAGGUAGUUGGUGGGAUAAAAGCUUACCAAGACGACGAUCUGUAGCUGGUCUGAGAGGAUGAUCAGCCACACUGGGACUGAGACACGGCCCAGACUCCUACGGGAGGCAGCAGUGGGGAAUUUUGGACAAUGGGCGCAAGCCUGAUCCAGCCAUGCCGCGUGCAGGAUGAAGGCCUUCGGGUUGUAAAAUGCUUUUGUACGGAACGAAAAGCCUUCUUUUAAUACAGGAGGGUCAUGACGGUACCGUAAGAAUAAGCACCGGCUAACUACGUG